UACGUAGGGUGCGAGCGUUGUCCGGAAUUACUGGGCGUAAAGAGCUCGUAGGUGGUUUGUCGCGUUGUCCGUGAAAACUCACAACUCAAUUGUGGGCGUGCGGGCGAUACGGGCAGACUGGAGUACUGCAGGGGAGACUGGAAUUCCUGGUGUAGCGGUGGGAAUGCGCAGAUAUCAGGAGGAACACCGGUGGCGAAGGCGGCAUCCUGGACCGAGAUUGACACUGAUGAGCGAAAAGCCAGGGGAGCAAACGGGG
rnacentral:rRNA from 1 species